CUGAUAUUCUUUGGUGCUAUGACAGGUAUAGAGCCAGCAGUGGUAGUGACCCAAGCCCUGGAAGAGACAAUGAAGAUGAUUGGAUGUGGAAGCUGUGGGAUGUACAUGAUCUGAGAGUGGGUACCUGAAAACAACUUUGUUUGUAUGAAGUGCCACUUGGUAGAGCUGAUUGAAGAGAAGAUCCGAGUCUUGGAGAUGCAAGUAGAAACUAUGAUUGAAUUUUGAAGGGGGUUCAAGCAGAUGGUGAAGCAAAGGCAAGAGGAGGCCGAAGGGAAAAGUCAAGACUUGCAGAUGCAAGCUGGACUGAAGAACUCAGAGGGCAGACUGCUGGGUGAGGAAAGUGGUCAGUGGAAACAUAUUGCUAUAAGAACCAAGCAGAGAAAAAGACUCCAAUAGUGAAGGAGAAAUAGAGCUCAGGAACAGGUUUGCUGAGUUGGAAAGGGCACAGCAGGCUGUCACUAAAGGAGGGAGGGCCAGAGGUUUAGAUAGUUAAUUACUGCCAGCUCAGCUAAAGGGCUGCAGGCUAAA